rnacentral:rRNA from 1 species
GGGUUGUGAGGUUAAGCGACUAAGCGUACACGGUGGAUGCCCUGGCAGUCAGAGGCGAUGAAGGGCGUGCUAAUCUGCGAUAAGCGCCGGUAAGGUGAUAUGAACCGUUAUAACCGGCGAUACCCGAAUGGGGAAACCCAGUGUGACUCGUCACACUAUCAUUAACUGAAUCCAUAGGUUAAUGAGGCGAACCGGGGGAACUGAAACAUCUAAGUACCCCGAGGAAAAGAAAUCAACCGAGAUUCCCCCAGUAGCGGCGAGCGAACGGGGAGGAGCCCAGAGCCUGAAUCAGCAUGUGUGUUAGUGGAAGCGUCUGGAAAGGCGCGCGAUACAGGGUGACAGCCCCGUACACAAAAGCGCAUGUGCUGUGAGCUCGAUGAGUAGGGCGGGACACGUGGUAUCCUGUCUGAAUAUGGGGGGACCAUCCUCCAAGGCUAAAUACUCCUGACUGACCGAUAGUGAACCAGUACCGUGAGGGAAAGGCGAAAAGAACCCCGGCGAGGGGAGUGAAAAAGAACCUGAAACCGUGUACGUACAAGCAGUGGGAGCACAGGUUUACCUGUGUGACUGCGUACCUUUUGUAUAAUGGGUCAGCGACUUAUAUUCUGUAGCAAGGUUAACCGAAUAGGGGAGCCGGAGGGAAACCGAGUCUUAAUUGGGCGUUAAGUUGCAGGGUAUAGACCCGAAACCCGGUGAUCUAGCCAUGGGCAGGUUGAAGGUUGGGUAACACUAACUGGAGGACCGAACCGACUAAUGUUGAAAAAUUAGCGGAUGACCUGUGGCUGGGGGUGAAAGGCCAAUCAAACCGGGAGAUAGCUGGUUCUCCCCGAAAGCUAUUUAGGUAGCGCCUCGUGAAUUCAUCUCCGGGGGUAGAGCACUGUUUCGGCUAGGGGGCCAUCCCGGCUUACCAACCCGAUGCAAACUGCGAAUACCGGAGAAUGUUAUCACGGGAGACACACGGCGGGUGCUAACGUCCGUCGUGAAGAGGGAAACAACCCAGACCGCCAGCUAAGGUCCCAAAGUCAUGGUUAAGUGGGAAACGAUGUGGGAAGGCCCAGACAGCCAGGAUGUUGGCUUAGAAGCAGCCAUCAUUUAAAGAAAGCGUAAUAGCUCACUGGUCGAGUCGGCCUGCGCGGAAGAUGUAACGGGGCUAAACCAUGCACCGAAGCUGCGGCAGCGACACUGUGUGUUGUUGGGUAGGGGAGCGUUCUGUAAGCCUGUGAAGGUGGCCUGUGAGGGUUGCUGGAGGUAUCAGAAGUGCGAAUGCU